rnacentral:rRNA from 1 species
GACAGAGGGGGCAAGCGUUGCUCGGAAUUACUGGGCGUAAAGGGCGCGUAGGCGGGAUGGCAAGUCGGUCGUGAAAUCCCUCGGCUCAACCGAGGAACGUCGAUCGAUACUGCUGUUCUUGAGGAUUGCAGAGGAGACUGGAAUUCCCGGUGUAGCGGUGAAACGUGUAGAGAUCGGGAGGAACACCGGUGGCGAAGGCGGGUCUCUGGGCAAUUCCUGACGCUGAGGCGCGAAAGCGUGGGGAGCAAACGGG